rnacentral:rRNA from 1 species
CACGUAGGCGGCUUUGUAAGUCGGAUGUGAAAGCCCUAGGCUUAACCAAGGAACUGCAUUCGAAACUGCAAAGCUUGAGUACGGGAGAGGGUUGUGGAAUUCCCGGUGUAGAGGUGAAAUUCGUAGAUAUCGGGAGGAACACCAGUGGCGAAGGCGACAGCCUGGACCGAUACUGACGCUGAGGUGCGAAAGCGUGGGGAGCAAACA